GAGUUUGAUCGUGGCUCAGGAUGAACGCUGGCGGCGUGCCUAAUACAUGCAAGUCGAGCGAACAGACGAGGAGCUUGCUCCUCUGACGUUAGCGGCGGACGGGUGAGUAACACGUGGAUAACCUACCUAUAAGACUGGGAUAACUUCGGGAAACCGGAGCUAAUACCGAAUAAUAUAUUGAACCGCAUGGUUCAAUAGUGAAAAACGGUUUUGCUGUCACUUAUAGAUGGAUCCGCGCCGCAUUAGCUAGUUGGUAGGGUAACGGCUUACCAAGGCGACGAUGCGUAGCCGACCUGAGAGGGUGAUCGGCCACACUGGAACUGAGACACGGUCCAGACUACUACGGGAGGCAGCAGUAGGGAAUCUUCCGCAAUGGGCGAAAGCCUGACGGAGCAACGCCGCGUGAGUGAUGAAGGUCUUCGGAUCGUAAAACUCUGUUAUUAGGGAAGAACAAAUGUGUAAGUAACUAUGCACGUCUUGACGGUACCUAAUCAGAAAGCCACGGCUAACUACGUGCCAGCACG
rnacentral:rRNA from 1 species